rnacentral:rRNA from 1 species
CUGGAGGACCGAACCCACUCCCGUUGAAAAGGUAGGGGAUGACUUGUGGAUCGGAGUGAAAGGCUAAUCAAGCUCGGAGAUAGCUGGUUCUCCUCGAAAGCUAUUUAGGUAGCGCCUCAUGUAUCACUCUGGGGGGUAGAGCACUGUUUCGGCUAGGGGGUCAUCCCGACUUACCAAACCGAUGCAAACUCCGAAUACCCAGAAGUGCCGAGCAUGGGAGACACACGGCGGGUGCUAACGUCCGUCGUGAAAAGGGAAACAACCCAGACCGCCAGCUAAGGUCCCAAAGUUGUGGUUAAGUGGUAAACGAUGUGGGAAGGCUUAGACAGCUAGGAGGUUGGCUUAGAAGCAGCCAUCCUUUAAAGAAAGCGUAAUAGCUCACUAGUCGAGUCGGCCUGCGCGGAAGAUGUAACGGGGCUCAAACCACACACCGAAGCUGCGGGUGUCACGCAAGUGACGCGGUAGAGGAGCGUUCUGUAAGCCUGUGAAGGUGAGUUGAGAAGCUUGCUGGAGGUAUCAGAAGUGCGAAUGCUGACAUGAGUAACGACAAUGGGUGUGAAAAACACCCACGCCGAAAGACCAAGGGUUCCUGCGCAACGUUAAUCGACGCAGGGUUAGUCGGUUCCUAAGGCGAGGCUGAAAAGCGUAGUCGAUGGGAAACAGGUUAAUAUUCCUGUACUUCUGGUUACUGCGAUGGAGGGACGGAGAAGGCUAGGCCAGCUUGGCGUUGGUUGUCCAAGUUUAAGGUGGUAGGCUGAAAUCUUAGGUAAAUCCGGGGUUUCAAGGCCGAGAGCUGAUGACGAGUCGUCUUUUAGAUGACGAAGUGGUUGAUGCCAUGCUUCCAAGAAAAGCUUCUAAGCUUCAGGUAACCAGGAACCGUACCCCAAACCGACACAGGUGGUCGGGUAGAGAAUACCAAGGCGCUUGAGAGAACUCGGGUGAAGGAACUAGGCAAAAUGGCACCGUAACUUCGGGAGAAGGUGCGCCGGCUAGGGUGAAGGAUUUACUCCGUAAGCUCUGGCUGGUCGAAGAUACCAGGCCGCUGCGACUGUUUAUUAAAAACACAGCACUCUGCAAACACGAAAGUGGACGUAUAGGGUGUGACGCCUGCCCGGUGCCGGAAGGUUAAUUGAUGGGGUUAGCGCAAGCGAAGCUCUUGAUCGAAGCCCCGGUAAACGGCGGCCGUAACUAUAACGGUCCUAAGGUAGCGAAAUUCCUUGUCGGGUAAGUUCCGACCUGCACGAAUGGCGUAACGAUGGCGGCGCUGUCUCCACCC